AGCACAAUUUGCAGCCCCAGCUGAUAAACAGUGGCAUCCAUUAAGCUAUUUUUUAACUUUUGACCUCGGAUCAGGUAGGGAUACCCGCUGAACUUAAGCAUAUCAAUAAGCGGAGGAAAAGAAACCAACAGGGAUUGCCCUAGUAACGGCGAGUGAAGCGGCAACAGCUCAAAUUUGAAAUCUGGCUCUUUCAGAGUCCGAGUUGUAAUUUGCAGAGGGCGCUUUGGCAUUGGCAGCGGUCCAAGUUCUUUGGAACAGGACGUCACAGAGGGUGAGAAU
rnacentral:rRNA from 1 species